AUUGAACGCUGGCGGCAUGCUUUACACAUGCAAGUCGAACGGCAGCGCGGGCUUCGGCCUGGCGUCGAGUGGCGAACGGGUGAGUAAUGCAUCGGAACGUGCCCAGUAGUUGGGGAUAGCCCGGCUAAAGCCGGAUUAAUACCGCAUACGACCUGAGGGUGAAAGCGGGGGACCGAAAGGCCUCGCGCUAUUGGAGCGGCCGAUGUCGGAUUAGCUAGUUGGUGGGGUAAAGGCUUACCAAGGCGACGAUCCGUAGCUGGUCUGAGAGGACGACCAGCCACACUGGGACUGAGACACGGCCCAGACUCCUACGGGAGGCAGCAGUGGGGAAUUUUGGACAAUGGGGGCAACCCUGAUCCAGCAAUGCCGCGUGCGGGAAGAAGGCCUUCGGGUUGUAAACCGCUUUUGUUCGGGAAGAAAUCCUGUGGGCUAAUACCCCGGGGGGAUGACGGUACCGGAAGAAUAAGCACCGGCUAACUACGUG
rnacentral:rRNA from 1 species